rnacentral:rRNA from 1 species
CCACGGCUAACUACGUGCCAGCAGCCGCGGUAAUACGUAGGUGGCAAGCGUUAUCCGGAAUUAUUGGGAGUAAAGCGCGCGCAGGUGGUUUCUUAAGUCUGAUGUGAAAGCCCACGGCUCAACCGUGGAGGGUCAUUGAAAACUGGAAAACUUGAGUGCAGAAAAGGAAAGGGAAAUUCCAUGUGUAGCGGUGAAAUGCGUAAAGAUAUGGAGGAACACCAGUGGCAAAGGCGACUUUCUGGUCUGUAACUGACACUGAGGCGCGAAAGCGGGGGGAGAAAACAGGAUUAAAUACCUGGGUUUUCCACGCCGAAAACAAUGAGGGCUAAUUGUUAGAGGGUUUCCGCCCUUUAGGGCUGAAGUAAACGCAUAAACCACCCCCCCGGGGGAGUACGGCCGCAGGGUUGAAACUCAAGGGAAU